AGCCGCAAAGGCGAACCCGGGGUAAACAGGCCGAACGCGCUGGGUAACAGCCGGGGGCUGCAUUCUCGGGCCGUCCCAGAGCCCUGGGAAUCUCCUGGCAUCUCGAGUACAGCUGCUUUUAGGUUCCGACACCAGCGUGGCUCAGGUGUGCCAGCGUGUGCCACAGGGACGCAGAGGACGUUUUAUCUCCAGGCCUGUCCCAGGGCUGCUCAGUAGAGCGUCCUCUCAUGUACGACAGGCAAAAAAGAUUCAUCUUCACCCAAACAAGUUUUGUAGCAGCCCGAGAUGCUCCUCCUCCCUGUGGACGAGGCUUGUUCUUCUGAACACUUUGUUAUCUCCCUUGAAUCCAUAUCUACUACAAGGCCAUGUUCAGACUGUCGAUUACCUCUGUGGGGUGACAUGAAAGGUAUUAAGGGCAAGAAAGCCACUAAUUUAUGGACCAACAUGUAUGUUUAUGGAUUUCUCCCGGAAUCCAUUUUAACGAUUUCUGCGUAGGCCUGGUCUUCAUAAAUCAACAUCCAUAAUCACAAUUCUGUU